rnacentral:rRNA from 1 species
UACGUAGGCAGCAAGCGGUGUUCGGAGUUACUGGGCGUAAAGAGUGCGUAGGCGGUGCUCCAAGUCUGGUGUGAAAUCUCCCGGCUUAACUGGGAGGGUGCGCCGGAAACUGGAGUGCUUGAGUGUGGGAGAGGAAAGCGGAAUUCCUGGUGUAGCGGUGAAAUGUGCAGAUAUCAGGAGGAACACCGGUGGUGUAGACGGCUUUCUGGACCACUACUGACGCUGAGGCACGAAAGCGUGGGGAG